rnacentral:rRNA from 1 species
UGGGGAAUAUUGCACAAUGGGCGCAAGCCUGAUGCAGCGACGCCGCGUGCGGGAUGACGGCCUUCGGGUUGUAAACCGCUUUUGACUGGGAGCAAGCCCUUCGGGGUGAGUGUACCUUUCGAAUAAGCACCGGCUAACUACGUGCCAGCAGCCGCGGUAAUACGUAGGGUGCAAGCGUUAUCCGGAAUUAUUGGGCGUAAAGGGCUCGUAGGCGGUUCGUCGCGUCCGGUGUGAAAGUCCAUCGCUUAACGGUGGAUCCGCGCCGGGUACGGGCGGGCUUGAGUGCGGUAGGGGAGACUGGAAUUCCCGGUGUAACGGUGGAAUGUGUAGAUAUCGGGAAGAACACCAAUGGCGAAGGCAGGUCUCUGGGCCGUCACUGACGCUGAGGAGCGAAAGCGUGGGGAGCGAACAGGAUUAGAUACCCUGGUAGUCCACGCCGUAAACGGUGGAUGCUGGAUGUGGGGACCAUUCCACGGUCUCCGUGUCGGAGCUAACGCGUUAAGCAUCCCGCCUGGGGAGUACGGCCGCAAGGCUAAAACUCAAAGAAAUUGACGGGGGCCCGCACAAGCGGCGGAGCAUGCGGAUUAAUUCGAUGCAACGCGAAGAACCUUACCUGGGCUUGACAUGUUCCCGACGGUCGUAGAGAUACGGCUUCCCUUCGGGGCGGGUUCACAGGUGGUGCAUGGUCGUCGUCAGCUCGUGUCGUGAGAUGUUGGGUUAAGUCCCGCAACGAGCGCAACCCUCGCCCCGUGUUGCCAGCGGAUUAUGCCGGGAACUCACGGGGGACCGCCGGGGUUAACUCGGAGGAAGGUGGGGAUGACGUCAGAUCAUCAUGCCCCUUACGUCCAGGGCUUCACGCAUGCUACAAUGGCCGGUACAACGGGAUGCGACGCGGCGACGCGGAGCGGAUCCCUGAAAACCGGUCUCAGUUCGGAUCGCAGUCUGCAACUCGACUGCGUGAAGGCGGAGUCGCUAGUAAUCGCGAAUCAGCAACGUCGCGGUGAAUGCGUUCCC